CGUUAUUGGGAGGCAUUGCCUGCCAGUGACAACUGUUUAACGGCCGCGGUAUCCUGACCGUGCAAAGGUAGCAUAAUCAUUUGUUCUCUAAAUAAGGACUUGUAUGAAUGGCCGCACGAGGGUUUUACUGUCUCUUACUUCCAAUCAGUGAAAUUGACCUUCCCGUGAAGAGGCGGGAAUGCACAAAUAAGACGAGAAGACCCUAUGGAGCUUUAACUAACCAACCCAAAGAGAAUAGAUUUAACCAUUAAGGAAUAACAACAAUCUCCAUGAGUUGGUAGUUUCGGUUGGGGUGACCUCGGAGAAUAAAAAAUCCUCCGAGCGAUUUUAAAGACUAGACCCACAAGUCAAAUCACUCUAUCGCUCAUUGAUCCAAAAACUUGAUCAACGGAACAAGUUACCCUAGGGAUAACAGCGCAAUCCUAUUCAAGAGUCCAUAUCGACAAUAGGGUUUACGACCUCGAUGUUGGAUCAGGACAUCCUGAUGGUGCAACCGCUAUCAAAGGUUCGUUUGUUCAACGAUUAAAGUCCUACGUGAUCUGAGUUCAGACCGGA
rnacentral:rRNA from 1 species